UACGAAGGGGGCUAGCGUUGCUCGGAAUCACUGGGCGUAAAGGGUGCGUAGGCGGGUCUUUAAGUCAGGGGUGAAAUCCUGGAGCUCAACUCCAGAACUGCCUUUGAUACUGGCGAUCUUGAGUCCGGGAGAGGUGAGUGGAACUGCGAGUGUAGAGGUGAAAUUCGUAGAUAUUCGCAAGAACACCAGUGGCGAAGGCGGCUCACUGGCCCGGUACUGACGCUGAGGUGCGAAAGCGUGGGGGAGCAAACAGG
rnacentral:rRNA from 1 species